CUGCUGUUAUUUUUUAUUUAUUUAUUUUUAUUUUCUUUUUCCCUUUUCCUUUCCUCUAUCAUAUUUCCUUCCCCUUUUGCUAUAGGUUCUGGAACAAAAAGUAACAGUACUUUCAAAACUAUGGGAGACUUCGUAACAUCAGAGAUGGGAAACUAAAAUUUGAGGCUUUGCUGAGGCUGCAGAAACACUGUACAACAUUACGGAAGACAGAGAAUAUAUUCCACGGCCUGAAGGCAGAACUGACACUGAACCUUCUCCACUUUUCUUUGACUAUUUGGCAACAAAAAUUGGCUACUCUUGCAGAAUGUCUGCUGCAUUGGUCAUGUCAGCCAGGAAACGCACAGUCUUCUAACUGGUCAUUUACAAGUGGGAACUUUUUCUUCUCGAUCAACGUGGUAGGAACUUGUCAGACUGUCAUGGAGAUCAAUGAAGUAACUGUGGAUUAGUAUGACUGGAAAUGAGAGUUUGACCCACUGUCUGUUGGAGAGGAAACUGGAAGUAAUGAGACCAGAGUCCAAGGAGAUCAACAGAACUGGAAGAUGGGCUGCUGCUUGAAAAUAGCAUGGUGGCUGUUUUGUGUCAUCUUGUCCCAAAGAAGAAACAUGCGUGAUAUAAGUGAAAACGGCUCAGCUUUCGGAGUGGCUCAAUCAGUGAGUGAUAUCACCCCCCUUCUACCAAACCAGUCAGUGGAUGCUGGCCCUCCUGUUCUGCAAAACCAUGAACAAGCAGGAGCUGAUGGGCAAGAG
ensembl:lncRNA